UCAAACAACUCGUUUGUGUCGUUUGUGGUGUUUCUAGAGCUUGUUCCGAGAUAAUUAAUUGAAAGGUUUUGUAUGAUUAGGACGGCAGGUUAACCAUGAACCGAAGCAUAGACAUCGAGUAAUUACCGAAAUAUAAUUAUCGAAUCAAUCGGUUCACUUCCCAAGAGACUAAUAUUUCUUUAAAUCAAGCGGAAAAAUAGAAAUCAAUUGACAUGCAAAACCGCAUAUUUUUGUUUUUCGCACUCACAUUAAAGCGUGGCUCUUAUGCAACGCUGAUCGUCACAUCCAAAGAAAGUUUCCAUCAUUCGCUCCAGUUUUCCCCUCUAGCGCUUUCUUCAUAUAAAUUAAUCUGAGCAUGGAUUUUUUCGGCAGUACCUGUGCUUUGCAUCAACAUGGAAUUUCUCACGUUAAUAACCCUGCUUAGCAUCGCCACGUCAUGGUCAAGUGGCCAGAAAAAACACUCGAAACGUAGUAUUUUUGGCGAAGGCUUCAACUCCUUUGCUGGAGUCAACUUCAUCGGCAAUCGUAUACCUCAGGCUUAUCCGGUACCAGUUGAUCGCCCAGUGGUGGUACGCCAACCCGUUCCUCUGCCCAUCGAUCGCCCUUUUCCAGUCCAGGUGCCAGUUUCUGUCGAUCGGCCAGUGCCAGUGGACCGACCAGUGCCUUUUGCAGUGCGAGUACCAGUGCGAGUUAAUGUGCCAGUGCCAAUUCCAGUACCUCAGCUCGUGUUUCUCAGGCAGCCCACUCGAAUACGCAAUUUUGGGGGUUUUGGAAGCUACCGCAGGUACUGGAGUUAGCAGUUUAAAUAAGAAUCUAAUUCCGGAUGUAAUUGUUUUGUGCUUUGUGAAAACUCUGGUGAUUUUAGUAAAGAGAGUGAUAUGAAGA